rnacentral:lncRNA from 7 species
AAAGUAUAUUUUCUUAAAAAAAAGAGAAUGUGUGCGUACUAGCAUUUGCAUGAAUGAACCAUAUAAUGUAUUUAAAUGGGUAAAAAAAUAUAUUUAGCAUUCAUGUUGUGAUCUUUGAUUGUGCAUAUGAAUUUAAUUUAUAAAUCCUAUUUGAAACGGACUAGAGAUUUAAAAUAGAAAACAAAAUAAAACUACCGUUUAGGCCAAUUUCAUCUACCUAGCCGAGAUGUACUAGCCAUACAUGUUUUUUUUAGUCUAUUCUUUAUUCCUUUGGCCGGAGCUUAUCUCAGCAUGACCUCAACACUGAUGUCAGCAUGCAAACAAACCAGGAUGUCCACGUGAUUGUGCUCUUAGGCGCUGGAAUGUGGGCCCUUUUUGUCAGCUUCGUCCUCAGCCGUGAGUCCAUUUUGCCGGUAAAAUAGAACGACCUCCAUGCAUCCUGCAUGGAUCCUCGUCCCGACCUCGCGCCCAUGUCCUUCGUUCCUAGGUCUCUCGAUCAGAUGCAUGCACGACUUGUUGCUGGCCGGUUGGGACCUUCUGGAACCACUCGUUCCCUCUCUUGAGCUGUUAUUUCUCUUCUCAUCGCGUCCCUCCGAAAUCCAAGCAUAACAGACUAGAGUUUGUUAGGAUUUGGAGGAUCAAAUCUUAACGAAGUCAUCUAGGAUACGAUUCCAUCAGGGUAUAAAUUAAAAUACAAGGCCCCCCAAUGAUUCAUUAGUCUUGGAUAUCCGCUUGAAAACCAGGAGCCAGAUAUCUACCUUGGCAACGGUGCCAACGCCUCCUGCUGUCAUCCAUGCUCGGCUGUGCGCAUGGUCUGGUGGCGGCCGUGUGUCAUCCUAUUCUUUUGCCGCUCGUCGUUGCACUACCUCGCCAUGUCUGCAACGCUAUGGAAUCGCCGCGCAAGCCGCUCAAGGUAUGGGAACCGAUACUUGUGGUACCACCUCGUGUCGUGUUGUCCACAUUAAGCAAUGGCGCCAUAGUAGAUGAAAUAAAUCUUCUCUCUGCUAUUAGUCAUAGAUCGGCCAGUAGCUUCUCGCAACUCUUGAAUCUAGUUUUCUGACUCACCAUCUCGCUCCUCGUCCGGCUAUCCCUGUCCACGAUACGUCAAUAAGUUCGUCACUCCGAGCACCGGCGAACUCGCCGCCACGGGCGUGGGCUGGGCGAUAACAGGCCACCGUCUGAGGUAGAAGACGAGUUUGAAUCGUAGGAUCAUCGAUAUAUGAUCUUACGGCCGAUUCGUAGAACAGAUCUGGGCCGUUGCUUUGUGAUCUCGUGGCCCAGAGGUGGCAUAUCCAUUCUCCAGGGCUAUCUUUCAAUAGAGACCCCGUAG